UACGUAGGGUGCGAGCGUUGUCCGGAAUCACUGGGCGUAAAGGGCGCGUAGGCGGUCUCUUAAGCGUGUGGUGAAAGCCCGGGGCUCAACUCCGGGUCGGCCGUGCGAACUGGGGGACUGGAGCUUGUCAGAGGCAGGCGGAAUUCCGGGUGUAGCGGUGGAAUGCGUAGAGAUCCGGAAGAACACCGGGUGGCGAAGGCGGGUCUCUGGGCCGAUACUGACGCUGAGGAGCGAAAGCAUGGGUAGCGAACAGG
rnacentral:rRNA from 1 species